rnacentral:rRNA from 1 species
UACGUAGGGUGCAAGCGUUGUCCGGAAUUAUUGGGCGUAAAGAGCUCGUAGGCGGCUUGUCACGUCGGCUGUGAAAACCUGGGGCUCAACCCCGGGCCUGCAGCCGAUACGGGCAAGCUAGAAUUCGGUAGGGGAGACUGGAAUUCCUGGUGGUAGCGGUGAAAUGCGCAGAUAUCAGGAGGAACACCGGUGGCGAAGGCGGGUCUCUGGGCCGAUAUUGACGCUGAGGAGCGAAAGCGUGGGGAGCGAACAGG